GGGGGAUAUUGCACGAUGGGGGGAACCUUGAUGCAGUGACGCCGCGUGGAGGAAGAAGGUUUUUCGGAUUGUAAACUCCUGUCGUUAGGGAUGAUAAUGACGGUACCUAACAAGAAAGCACCGGCUAACUACGUGCCAGCAGCCGCGGUAAAACGUAGGGUGCAAGCGUUGUCCGGAAUUACUGGGUGUAAAGGGAGCGCAGGCGGGAAGACAAGUUGGUAGUGAAAACCAUGGGCUCAACCCAUGAAUUGCUUUCAAAACUGUUUUCCUUGAGUAGUGCAGAGGUAGAUGGAAUUCCCGGUGUAGCGGUGGAAUGCGUAGAUAUCGGGAGGAACACCAGUGGCGAAGGCGGUCUACUGGGCACCAACUGACGCUGAGGCUCGAAAGCAUGGGUAGCAAACAGGAUUAGAUACCCUGGUAGUCCAUGCCGUAAACGAUGAUUACUAGGUGUUGGGGGAU
rnacentral:rRNA from 1 species